rnacentral:rRNA from 1 species
UACGUAGGGACCGAGCGUUGUCCGGAUUCAUUGGGCGUAAAGAGCUCGUAGGCGGCCACUCAAGUCGAAUGUGAAACCUCAAGGCUCAACCUCGAGCCUGCAUUCGAUACUGGGCGGCUAGAGUCUGGUAGGGGGAGUCUGGAAUUCCUGGUGUAGCGGUGGAAUGCGCAGAUAUCAGGAGGAACACCGGUGGCGAAGGCGGGAUCCUGGGCCAGUACUGACGCUGAGGAGCGAAAGCGUGGGGAGCAAACAGG